UACGAAGGGGGCUAGCGUUGUUCGGAAUUACUGGGCGUAAAGCGCACGUAGGCGGAUAUUUAAGUCGGGGGUGAAAUCCCGGGGCUCAACCCCGGAACUGCCUUCGAUACUGGGUAUCUUGAGUUCGGAAGAGGUGAGUGGAAUUCCCGGUGUAGCGGUGAAAUGCGCAGAUAUCGGGAGGAACACCAAUGGCGAAGGCAGCUCGCUGGGACGGUACUGACGCUGAGACGCGAAAGCGUGGGGAGCAAACAGG
rnacentral:rRNA from 1 species